rnacentral:rRNA from 1 species
GAUGAACGCUGGCGGCGUGCCUAAUACAUGCCAGUCGAGCGAACAGACGAUGAGCUUGUUCCUCUGACGUUAGCGGCGGACGGGUGAGUAACACGUGGAUAACCUACCUAUAAGACUGGGAUAACUUCGGGAAACCGGAUCUAAUACCGGAUAAUAUAUUGAACCGCAUGGUUCAAUAGUGAAAGACGGUUUUGCUGUCACUUAUAGAUGGAUCCGCGCCGCAUGAGCUAGUUGGUAAGGUAACGGCUUACCAAGGCAACGAUGCGUAGCCGACCUGUGAGGGUGAUAGGCCACCUUGGAACUGAGACGGGGUCCAGACUCCUAAGGGAGGCCGCAGUAGGGUAUCUGACGCAGUGGGCGAGAGUCUGACGGAGCAGCGGCGCGUGAGUGGUGAAGGCCUUCGGAUCGUGAAACUGUGUUAUGAGGGGAGAACAAAUGUGUACGUAAAUGUGCCCGUAUUGACGGUACCUAGUAAGAAAGCAACGGCUAACUACGUG